rnacentral:rRNA from 1 species
UACGUAGGGGGCAAGCGUUGUCCGGAAUCAUUGGGCGUAAAGCGCGUGUAGGCGGCUCGAUAAGUCUGCUGUGAAAGUCCAGGGCUCAACCCUGGGAUGCCGGUGGAUACUGUCGAGCUCGAGUCCGGAAGAGGCGAGUGGAAUUCCUGGUGUAGCGGUGAAAUGCGCAGAUAUCGGGAAGAACACCCGUGGCGAAGGCGGCUCUCUGGGACGGUACUGGACGCUGAGACGCGAAAGCGUGGGGAGCGAACAGG